UGAGAUUCAGCCAGUAGUGGUGUGAAAUAACUAUUGUACUGCUUUCGUAAUUCAUUCCGGAUAAAAUCCUUCGCUUUAACUAGCAUUUUCCAUUAUUAAAUAAAGAUAAUAUGAUUAUCACAUAAUUAUAUUAAUGCAUUUAUAAGCAUACAUGAGUCUGUUAGAUACAAUUCUAGGCAUACAAAUUACAUUAACCUAAUAUUUUUUUGUGUUGCUACAAUGCCACUCAUAUUCAUGAUAAAAACAAAGGUAAUUAAGUAUCAAUAUCAAUAAAUUGUAAAGCAUUCAUGCAUUUCUUAACAUCCGCCGCUGCUGCAAAGUCACGACCUUCUCUACCGUGUGCCAACCAUUACUAUACUUGGUCGUUGGACAUGUUGCAGCUUUUCUUUCUCUCUCUUAGGCACUCAAUCGUGUGAGAAAGGGAUAAAUCAUAUAUUUUUUGGUGUGUAAUAUCUCAAUUUUUUGGUGAGCAAUCGAGAUUUAAAACAAUUUAAAUAAGGGUUAAACAUGUUUUUGGUCCCUAUAUAUAUAUCAAUUUUUCGUUUUAGUCUCUCUAAAAUUUUAUUUAAACUUUUAGUCCCUAGAAAAUUUUCAAUUAUUAUUUUUGGUCUCUCCUUCAAAGUAAACUCAUAUGUAGCAUUCAUAUUUUUAAAUAAAAUAUUGCAAAAAAAUGUAUAAUGCUAUAAGGAUCUCUCCCAAAAACAUGAAUUAAAUAUGAUUUUUUAUAUUUUGGAGGUAAAAAAUUAUAAUUUUUUUGAAGUGAUUUUUACAAUAUUCAAUAUAUUUCUGUAAAAUUUCAUUAGAAAAUACAAUUAUUUACUUAAAAAUAGGGACAAACAGUAGUGAUUGAAAAUUUUAUAGGAACUAAAAGUUGAAGGAAAAUUUUAAAGACACUAAAACGAAAAGCUGACAUAUUUAUAGAGAUAAAAAACAUAAUUAGCCCUUUAAAUAAUAAGAAUAAAGCUACUUUAAAUUUGGACAGUCUCCAUUAGAUCAGAUGGUCAAAUCUCUCCUGCAUGAAGUUUUAACUAUAUGCGCAAUUCAGAUUAUUUUAACGCAGUAACUUUAAUAUUCAACCAUUUAUGUAACAAUAUUAAUCAAACACAUAAAUUAAGUAUUGCAAAAGCUACACUAAAUUAAUAGUUGAUUGGACGAUUUCGAACAAGAAUUUUCAAAAGAGAUUCAUUUACCCUAUAAUUUUCUGGAAAAAAUAUAUUCCCGUUGAGUACAUAAAAAUGCCAAAUUUAUAUUUUCAUUAAAAAAAAAAUUAUAUUGUUUAUUGAGCACGCUUUAAAAUUGUAUCCAAGUAUAAUUUUUUUAUCUAUUCAAUAUAGUUUUGGUAUCAUGGUUGUCAUAUCAUCUUUUGAAUAUUUUGCUCUAUUCGUUUAGACAUCCUUGAGGGUUGACAAACUCUUUAGACAUUCUUAAACACACAAAAAAAGUAUUAUAAUUAUUUUGAAAUCAGGUUUAAAUUAGUUUAUAAACAAUCACAUUCCUCUUUAAACCAAAGUAUCUUUUACAAACGAGUGUGAUUAUUCAUACAAUACACAAAGUGGACAAUAGAUGUUAAGAAUCAUGGAAUCAUAGGAAGAGAAGUCAUAGAUGUAAGCAAGAUAGCAAACAUAAGAGUACUCAUAUGGGAGAUACUCAAAAGAAACUCAUUAUAGAAUGAAUAGAUUGAUAAAAGAUGAUGAAUGAGUACAAUAGUGUUCCUAUAUAUAGAGAUUAGUUUGACUAACUAACUCUAACUAACUUCUAACAAAGCUACUAACUCUAAUUUACUUAUCAACUAACUAUAGUUGAUCACUAACUCUAAUUUAACUACUUUAACUAACUAACUUCACAUAACUUCCAAGUAUUUUAACAAUAGAUAAAAAAAAACUAUGGUGCCAACUUGAGUUCAUAACUAGUUGUAAUUUAAUAUAGAUGUAGUUUUUCUUAUGUAAAUCAUGGACCAUGCUGUGGCAUGUGGUCACCUACCCAGAGUUCGUUUAGUUUGCAACUUUAAACAAAAAACAAUUCUAAUUUUUUUUAUUAAUGAUAGUUAGUUUGAAUUGAUUGAAUGUAACUUUAUAGUUUUUUUAAAUGUAAAUCAUACAUGCUUCUUGCUGGCUCAAGGCUAUUUGAAGCAAUUUUCAACCUCUUAAUUUUUUUUUUUCCUUUAUCAAAAAAGUAUAUUUUCUUAUCUCAUUACAAGAAUAAAAAAUUGAAAAACAAAACGACUUGAGAAUCCAAUGGUAAGUGUAGAUGUCACGGACCAUUACUUAAUUAACCCUACUUUUAAUAAUGGGACAAAUAUGUGUUGACUAGAUUAUGCAAGCAUUCAUUAGAAGAAGAAGAAAACAAACUUUGAACUAUUCCUCUCUUACUAUAGCUAUUGGGUUAGGAACUAGCUAGCAAGUGAUGCUCACUUUUUUCUUAGUGUUUGUUUAACUAGUUUUCAACCAUCGUUGACCUCACACACUCACAAGAAUAUCGUCUCAGAUUCAUAACAUUGAAGUUAUUCCCACUGUGUUAGUUUAUUAUAGAUCACUUUGAAAUUAGUCGUAAGUUUUCUCCUUCCUUUUUCCCAUUAAAAACACUCGUAAACAAGUGUACUUUCUCUCCCCUCCUUCUAAAUUCUUCCCUUACUUUACCUCUUCUUUAUCAUAUAAUAUCAUAAUGUAUUUUUGGAUAGGUAAUUGGAAACUUUAGAGAAAUAACAAAUCAAAUACUUCAAUUGAAAUUCAUUUAAUUUGAAAUUUUUUAUCUGGAAAAAAUUAAUCAAAUUCUUCGUUCUUAAACUUUGUUGAACAACCCAAGAACAUUUGGAUGAUAUUUUAAGUGUUCUUUUCCGGAUUAACCAAUGGUUUUGGUUUCGAAUUCAACCAUGAAAAUGCAGCAAUGUUAAAUCUUUAGAGAGGAGAGUUUUAAUAUCUAUUGUAGUUCUAUCAUAUUUGAGGGAUUAACCUCUGGAAUUGCGCGCAGAAGAUACUUGGAUCAUAAAAAAACUUCAAUAAGCUAUUAUGUAAUUUUAAAUGUUACUGUAUAAAUAUAUAAUUAACGGUGAUCCAAGACAAGGAUUUUAAAAGAUCAGCUAAAUUACACUCAUUGUCCUUUGGAUUUUUGCAGUCCAUUUUCAUCCCUUAAGUCAAAAAAAAAAUCAACAUUUUGGCUACUUAAUUUAUUUUUUGUUUUAUUUUUUUGUCUCUUAAUUAGUCACAAAUGUUUGGCAAAUCUUCAUCAUAUUUUUGGAUUUUUUUCAUUUUUAAUAAAAAUAUAUUUUUAAAAAUAAAAUUAUGUAUUUUUUAAUAAAAAACGAGAAAAAAGAUGUAUAUGUGCUUUUAAGAGAGAUAAAAGACCUAAACAGGAAAAAAUAAAGAUAAAAGAUCAAAGUGUUACAAAUAAAUAAGAUAAAGGACCCCUAAUGUAAUUUUGCCUUAAUUAUAUUUAGGUGUUCAAUCUUAAUUAAUUUACACUACAAGACUGGCUUAGAACAAUUAAAAAUUCACAUUAAAUUUCUUUCAUUUGAAUGUCCUUAAAUUUAUCAGUUACAUUCAUACAAUUUCUUCUUCCCAUUUUGAUUGUUCAAUUUUAUCGUUCCAAACUGCCGUAUUUUUCAAUUUUCGUGAAAGCUAAUUUUCGAUGGACCUUCAGUGCAACCCAAAUCCGGUUUUACUCCCCAAGAUUUACACAACUACGUGUCUGAACUCGGACACUCGAGGCCUGAACACGACGGAGUUUCACAAACAAUGCCCAGAGAGUAAUGGUAGAAGAACAAGGGAUAGGAAGAUAAUUUAUAUUGAAUAUAUAUAUAUAUAUGUAAUGCAAGUUGCACAGACUAGAUGUAUAGCCUCAUAUUUCCGUUGCAGGAUUUAUCAACAAUAUAAAAGGCAUUAAUGAUAAUGAAAACUAACGAUGGAUUGAAUGUUUGGUUUUUCUUCUUCUUUCUGUAACGUUCUGGCAAUGGAGAUUUAAGGAGACAAAUAGUGGUACUUGAUUGUCAUUAUACUCACAAUCCCCCACUAAUGGUAAUCAAAGAAAGACAAUGAUAAUGAAUAGAAAUUUGGACAUGGAAAAUAAUAGAACACUCGGUAAGGAAAGGUUUUUUCAUGCUUAAGUGUUAAUGUCACGAGGAUUGAAUGAACACGUAGUAAAAUGAGCAUCUUAAAUCUAUAAAGUAAAAAUACUCUUGAACUUAAUAGAUUUUAGAUGAGACUCUCACAAUACGCACUUUUACCUUUAAAAUUAUGAUAGCUCUGCAAUAAUUAAUUCUGUCAUACUUAAGACCUUUAUCACCAUGGAUCGCUCAUGAGUCCUCUAGAAAGAUUGCCCAAGUCUUUUAUAGAAGGUGGUCUAAGCCUUCACACUCAAGUAGAUAAAUUCAUCAAGUGUCUCUCAAAAACACCGCCAUAAAAGGCUAUGAAUUUAUUAAGAACAUAAAAAAAUGUACAACCUCAAAUUUAACAAGCGGCAAGUCCAUCAAGUCCGUCUCGUAAGGACCACCCAAAAAUUAGGGCUAUGAACUCAUUUAAGAGCUAAAAGCUCAACCUAACAUUAAGCACUACCACACGCCAUAGGGAUAAAAAAAUGUAGUGCAUAUAGGAGUAUUCAUAUGACUUCGUUUGACCUCGAAUUGGAUAUCCACGAUAUUUUCCCCCACUCAAGGCUUUAAAUUCAUCCCCCUCGAUGUAUCCAAGACAACUUUCCUGGAUAAUCCUUUCACAAAAGAUCAUAAAUUAUUUCAUUUUUCUUCCUUUUCUCACUUUUCUCUUAUAGUGAGAUAAUAUUAUUUUUAAUUCCUUUCACAAAAGCAUUUAUGUCGUCUCUCAUAGACACUAUUAUUAGUCACAUAGGUUAUAGAUUGUGAUCACAAAAUAUUUAAAAGGUGUGGUUCUCCUCAAUAAAUGUAUCUCGUUCACACCGAGUCUUUCAACUAUUAUGCUUCUUGACCUGCAAAUUCAAAGGGUGAGAAUUUUGAUUCCAUUAGUAAAUUUGACUAUGCAUAGUUCGCUUAUUUAUUUUCAAAGAGAUGUCACAUCAUCAUAAGAUAAAGGGUUAGAGAUAUUUUUGGUUCCUAAAAAUAUGUCAAUUUUUCGUUUUAGUCCCUUUAAAAAAUUUCUUCGACUUUUAGUCCCAAAAAUUUUACAUCUUCACUUUUGGUCCCUACUUUAAAGUAAACUCAUAUGUAGAAUUAUUAUUUUUUAAUAAAAUUUUACAGAAAAAUUUAAAAUAAUAUAAGAACCUCUCCAAAAUAAAAAAUUAAAACAUACAAAAUUUGAUUUUAAAAAUAGAGACCAAAAGUAAUGAUUGAAAAUUUUGUAGGGACUAAAAGUUGAAGGAAAAUUUUAGCGGAACUAAAACGAAAAUUUAGUAUAUUUAUAGGGAUAAAAAACAUAUUUAACCAUAUGAUAAAUAAGUACUUGACAAUGGAACCUACCUCGUCUUUAUUUGAGAUCCAAUUUACACUAUUCAAUUCUUCUAAGAUCAACUAUUAGAAGAACAUGAUAUCCAGACAACAACAUCAUUUGAAUAGAUUAGAAAAAAUAAUUGAUCAUUUAAAUGAUCAUCGUUGAGAUUAUGAAUUCAUACACUUCAUCUAUUCAUCAUAUACCACAUGCAAUAUAGUAUAAUUCAUAAAAUCCAUAACACAAUCAAUUAUCUCACACACAAAUUGAGAGACUAUCUUUUAAAAUUCCACUUGUUAUUCAUGAGAUUACUAGCAUAAGGCGAAUGACCGUCCCUAUGAAAUAGGAGGCUCGGUUCUCUAUUUAAAAUAGGCCUCUAAUAAAAUAAAAACGCAAUUUUUUUAUGUAGCUAAGCUUUAUUAAAAAAUUAGAAUCAAAAGAGCUUCUAAACAUGAAACGAAAUACAAAAAAAUUAAGUGAAAGAGAUGUAGAAUUUACUAACGGUGUCAUUUGGAUUUGUCACUUAUCCGUUUUGGGAAAGGGGAAAACGAAUGGUUUAUGUGAAAAAGAAAUGAUUGUUGUGAUUCUUUCAUGAAAUAGCUUUUUAAAUUGACUGAUUUAGUCAUUAUACCAAUUGGUAGUGGUUUGAUAGUACCAAAUUUAUGUCCAGAUAGGAGAACUAAAGUCUAGAAAAAACUCAAACAUGCAAAGAAGUAACAUAUAUAGUUUUUAUUUAAGUGGGGGUGGGUAUUAGAGUUAAUUUUUUCGGAGGCCCAUAAAUUUUGAAGGCCCGACUUAAUUGAGCACCUUGCACUCCCUCAAGGUCGGACAUGUUAAGGUGUAUUCACUAAUUUCAAACCAUAUUUACCAUGGAACUUAGUUCACAUUUAAUACCUUAUUUUUAUUUUAAAUAAUAAUAAAAUAGCAUUGGUUAACCCAAACAUGCUCAUGGAAAGUAAAAUUAUCUUAAUCAUAGCUUUUUAUUCAUAUUUAUCAACAUCUUCUACUCUUACUAAAACAGGAAAAUUAUACAUUCUAUGUCCACAAGAAUUUUUUCCCUUCUUCUAAUCCUUCUACUUUCCCUUGUUUCAAAAGUUUGGCGCACAUUAAAAAAUAACAAGAGUAAAAGUAGAAUAAACAUCAUUCACAAAAUUGUUUUUGUUCUUCUUAUAACCCCCACUUUUAAGUAAUUUAACGUUAAGAGAAUGACCCUCCCACUCUUAUAAUUUUAUUUUAUUUUUCACAGGUCUUUCCCCUCAACAUGCAUGUAACAUAAAGUUAAACAUGAAUUAUAUAUAACCAUAUGAAUUCAUCAACAAUACAAUCAACUCAAAAAGUUUCUAGCUUGUUAAUUAUACAAUAAAAUUUACUACUUUGCAAGUUUAUUAAAACAUGCAUACUCCAAAGAUAAUAGGAUAUUUAUGGAUAUAUAGAAACAUAUCAAUAAUCACAUACAUAAAUUUAUUUUGAUUUUUAGCUAUCAUUGUAUAUUUAAAGAAUCAAACUUUCAUAGACACAUCUCAAAUUAUAGUCAAACUAUCACCACAUAGAAAUUUCAAUUUGUAUUUUCUUGCAAUUUAUCACCAAGCCAAAACAUAUUUAUAUAAUUUCCGGCAAUCAUGGACAUAAAAAUUCUUUUAUCAUUAGAUUAAAAAAAUAUCUACAUACAUGUCCUUGAGUUUAAGACACUUACUUGUAUUUUAAGCUCAUCUUUUUACCUCAAAUUAGAUGAUGAUUUAUUUGAACUCUCACAUGCCCCUUCUUUAACAUCCAAUUGAUGAGGGCACCGAGUGAUCCUUUCCAUGCAAUUCGAACGAACAUGAUACAUAGAAAAAUCACAAAGUCGAUAUUACCAAAUAUGAUUAAAUAAAUAAAUUUGCUUUCAGAUUGUUGGAAAUAUUAAGAGUAAAAUAUAAUAGAUUUUGAAUAGAUAGGAAAGAUAGAAGAGAGUUGUUGUGCCGUGACAAAAGUCACUGUCCUGAAAGCAAAUUUUCGGUGGAUCUCCGGGUGCAACCCAAAUCCGGUUUUGCUCCCUAAGGUUUACACAACUGCGUGUGUGAACUCGUGCACUCGAGGCCUGAACACGAUGGAGCUUCACAAACAAUGCUCAAUAAUGGUACAAGAACAAUGGAAAGGAAGAUAGUUUAAUAGACAACACGAUGAACUGAUUUCCAUCCUCCACUGUCUACUACUCUUAAUUCUCUUAUAUUGAAUAUAUAUAUAUGAUGCAAGUUGCACAGACUGAUGGAUUGAAUGUUUGGUUUUUCUUCUUCUUUUUGUAACGUUCGGGUAAUGGAGAUUUAACGAGACAAUUAAUAGUGGUAUUUGAUUGUCAUUAUACUCACAACCAUUGCUCAUUGGAUCAGUAGUAUCAUGAGUACUUGCUCAAGUAGAGAAUUUCGGUUUUAAUUGAUGCUUGCUUGCUUAAUUAGGUUCCAAAGGUAAAUAUUGCUUUUGUUGGAGAAGUGAUGUAGGAGAAUGAGGGGUGUGAAUGGAGUUUAUGGUUUAAAUUUUUAACAAGUAAAUAUGGGGUGGAUGGGGUUUUUUAUAGGGUGUAAUCUAGAUUCAUCUUGGUGGAAAAACUAAUGUUGAGUACAGAUAGUGGUGGUGUUCCUGGUAGUUGGUUUUCUAACCGCAUGCCAAAAGUAGUUGGAAAUGGUAUAUAUACUUUAUUUUGGUUUGAUUUGUGGGUGAUCAGAGAAAUUUUUAUGGAUACUCAAGCAAUCUUUUUAGUUUAUUUAUCAAUUAAUAAACAAGCAUUUGUGGAAGAUAUGUUGAAUGUGAGUGGAGGUUUAGGCUACAUGGACCGGAGGUUGCAUAAAAAUAUUUUCAUUUGGGAGGAUAAUUUAGUGGGAGAAUGUAGAGAUUCUUUGGCUAACAUCUCUUUGCAUUAAAAUGUUAAAAAAUGCUUGGAUUUGGAAUUAAAAUCUAGGUGAAGGAUACUCUCUCAAAGAAGCAUACCAUCAACAUUAAUGAUUGAUUAGAAACAAGGGGUAAUCUACUCAAGCAUGGCUUUAAUCAAUUGGAGUAUUGUUUGUGUGUCAACGAAUGUGUAUUUAAUGAGAGCGCACAACAUCUUGUUUUUUGUUCUUUAUUUUAUGGAAGGUUUAGACGAAAGUAGUUGGUGGUUGGGUUUAUGGUGUUUUAUCAAAAAUAAUAGCUUGGUACAUGAAAAGAAAUUUCUUGGUCUGGUAUCAAGUGGUAGACAGAUGCGUAAAUGCAUCAAAUCCAUUUAAUUAUCUUGCAUUUAGUCUAGAGAUUCAUAAAUAAAUUGUUUUUUUGACGACAUAAAAUUAAUGAAAGGAACAAUCAUUGAUAUGGUAAAACUCUUAUCUUGAGCAUUGAUUAAAUCCAAGAAGAAUGACUUUUAUUUAUAUUAGAGAUGUCAAGAUAAGAGUAUCCUUCACCUAGACUAAAUGCAAGAUAAUACUUAAAAUAAAAGUCAUUCUUCUUAGAUUUAAUCAAUUUAGAGGCAUUCUAAAAGAAAAUGGGUAUAAAUAAAUAAAUUGAUUUUCCCUUUACCAUUCAUUUAAGUUAUAAAUAUGUUCAAAAUAUGAAAAGAGUUUUAAAAGUCAUUCUUCUUGGAUUUUAUCUUUCCAUUUAAAAAACAAAAAAAAAAAACAUUCCCUUUGCCCAAAAAUAAAAAGUAUUCUCUUUUAAAUUUUAACUCGUUUCUAUCGUGAAAAGCCAAAAAUAGGGGAAAAUGAAAAGCCAAAAAUAGGGGAAAAUGAAAAUGGAUAAAUAAUAAUAAUAAGGCAAGUUCUAUGGUACACCCAAUAUUUUUAUUGUAUUGGUACACUAAAUCUUUAAAUUAAUAGUUAAAUGAGUUAUUUUUUGUAGAAAAAAAUUAUUUUCGAUCACCUAUAAUAAUAAAUCUUAUUUACCAAAAACGUCAACGCAAUAAAAUUUAAUUUUUCUGAAUUCUUAUUACUCAUAAUAGAGAAUUUUGAGUAUUUUUUACAAUAAAAUGUAAAAAAAUUAGUAUGAUUUUUAUAAAAAAUGAAAUGAUGUUUUUUUUUUCAUAUAAAAUGAUAUUUUCUAAAAUAUAUAUGUCAACAAACACCUAUUUUCCUCAUAAAAAUUAUAGUUAAUUUAUAAAAAUUAUAAGCGAGAGUACCGGUACACCGUAAUUUACGGGUGUACCAUAGAAGUCCCCUAAUAAUAAUAGUGAAGUUUGUAUAAGAAAUGCGACAAAUUAAAUGCACGAAAAGACAAACAUGGCACAUGGAUGCAAUCAAGAGAUAUUUAACCAUUUUAUGGUGUCUAAUGAUUAUCCCUUAAAAAGGAGUAUUUGCCAAUAUAUAAGUGCUAAAACCUAGGAAAUGAUCAAACAAUUUUCUAUUUAUUACAUUUAAAGGAGAAGAAACAUGACUACAUUUCUCAAAGUUGCUUAUAUUAUGAUCAUAUGUGUCUUUGUGCUUCACCUUGCAGCCCAAGUUGAUUCACGUACAUUUUUUUAUCCUCUCAAUUUUUAUUCUUUAUUUUAUACACAAUUUUUCAUCUCCUUGUUGACACUAAUUAUUUAUGGUUUACAUUGUAGAAAAAAGAUUACAUGGAUGCAAGGAAGACAGAGAUUGUGAUAACAUCUGCUCCGUACAUGCUGUUACAAAGUGCAUUGGGAAUAUGUGUCGCUGCUUAGCCAAUGUAAAAUAAAUGAAUUGUAAUAAAAUAAAGAUGUAAUCAUGUGAAAUAAUUAUUAAAUAAAGAUAACAUGAUUAUCACAUAAUUAUAUUCAUUCAAGCAUUUAUAAGCAUACAUGAGUCUAUUAGAUACAAAUUACAUUAACCUAAUACAUUUUUGUGUGGCUACGAUGCCACUCAUUUUCGUUAUCCAAUUUUCCAUUUUUUUUUUAAACGCUGACAUGUAUUAAAAAUGAUGUGAUGGCAAGCCCUUGUUGGAUUCGAAAAAAUAUAUUUUUAUUAAAAUAACAAAAAUCCCAAAUUAAUAAAAUUGGGUAUUCUUCUUUCCCUUUAAAUUUAUGGGUUUCAAACCCAGAAAUUGCAUCCCCCCUCCCCUUUCUGAACUCGAGCUUUACUAACAAAAAAUAGCCUCAAUUUAAAGCAACGAUUUGUGAAAAGCAAUAUGAUAAUCUUAUUUUUUUAAUAAAUCUCAACUCUUUCUUGACCUCUCUCUAUCAUGGGUUAUUGUUGCUGACCAAUCUUCAACCAAAGCUAUAACAAAAAAACUCAAUUCAUCUUCAUCUCCUUGCUUCGUUGUAGGUUUUUUGUUAUGUAUUUGGUUGGUAACAAAGACAAUUUUUUUUUUUAUUAAUUUGUUUUAAAAUAAAUUCAAAUAUUAAAUAAAUUGUAGUCACUGAUACCAAAACUCAAUCAAACUUCAAGGUGCCAAAGAAAUUACAAUUGUUUAUUGGAACAGUUGUAUCAUGAGCACUUGCCCUAGCUAGUAGACAAUUUUGGCUUAAAUUUAUACUUGCUUGCUUAAUUGGGUUCCAAAGGUAAAUAUUGCUUUUUUGGAGAAGUGGUGUUGGAGGAUAUAUGAAUAGAGUUUACGGUUUAAAUACUUAUGAAGUAAAUAUGGGGUGGAUAAUGGGGUUUUUUGCUUGGUGUAAUCUAGAUUUAUCUUGGUGGGAAAAACUAAUGUUGAGUAAAGAUGGUGGUGGUAAUGUUUUUGGUAUUUGGCUUUCUUACCGCUAGUAAAAAAAUGAUUGGAAAUGGUACAUUUACUUUAUUUAGGUUUAAUAAACAGGCAUUUGUGGAAGAUAUGUUGAAUGUGAUGGAGGUUUAGGCGACAUGGAUUAAAGGUUGCAUAAAAUUAGUUGUUUAUUUAUCAAUUCUUUUUGGAAGGUUUGUUUUGUCUUUAAAUGACUUCUUAUUCUUCUUUUAUCUUUAAUUUUUCUAGAUGAUAUUCCAAAUGUGGCUCCUAAAGUGAUUCAUGAAACAUGAAAAACAAUGUUAUGUAAUACUAUUGUUUAACUCUAUAAUUUAAAUCUUAAGAGAACACCACAUUUCAAAUAUAUCUCAUAUGCAUUUUUUUUUUUUUUUUUGGUUUUAAAGCCCUUUCUAAGUUUGUUUCGAUAAAAGACUCAGUUAUGGUAGCAUAAGAUUUGUCGACUAAGUAUAACUUUUUUAGUCAUUUCUUUUGUUACUUUUCAAAAGUUAGUUGCUCAAAUUAUCAGGGGAAGCGUAAUGAAAAGUUUGGGUAGAACAUGCAUCUAUGUUGUUUUGAUGGUGUAACCCAGUUUAUGAUUGUGUCUAAAUAUGUUGUAAUAUUUAAAAGCCUAAGCAAUGACCAGCAUGUGAUAGGUGUUUUCAGAUUUAUGGACCAAGAUUUUGGUGUCAAAGAUAUCAGGCAUAAUUAUUGGCAUCAUGUGAUACUUAUUUCCAUUUUGUUCUAUUUAUUGCUUUGACUCUUUAUUUAUAGGCAUGUUAUUAGAAGAUUAAAAUUUGGAAAGAUUCCUCUAGAUUUUUCACAAAAAGCAUUAUGGAUGAGUAAAAGGAGAGCAUGCAUGUGCUUCUUAGCCAUUUGACACUAUCAGAUUAUCAAUUGAUGAGAAUGUGACAACAUAAUAUUAUUUAGUGCAUGAAAAUUUGAACAUGCUUCGGCAAGAGGUAUGAACUAUGCCUUCACCUGCAAGUGUGAAUGUUGACUAUAACUUAAUUUUUCAUUGUUCUAUAUUCAGCUAAUUUUUUAAGAGCUGGUCUUGAUACACACACAUGAGUUCUCAUAAUAGUCAUAAAAAUAGAACGGUCUCUUUAAAAAAUUCUUGAUAUUGUGGAGGAUAUAAUGCCAAUAUUUUGUUGAUUACUUUAAAGAAUAUGCAAAAAAAAAAAUCCAAAUAUUGUUGUUAUUUCUUCUUCUUUGCCUAUCGUGUUUAGGAUUUUCAUUGCAUGAAAAAAUAAAUAUGAAGUUCUUCUAUUUUAAUUGUGGAUUGACCUAUUUCUUUUUUCUUAAGUGUUAUUGAAAGUCUCAAGCAUGGGCUUACUAAUCAACUUAUGGUGCUUUUGACACAAAAACAAUACAACAAGAGAAAUUGUAAUUUGAAUGCUAAAUAUUUUUUUUUUCCUUUGAUUCAAUUGUAAUUUUGAUUUAUGAAGGAUUAGAAAUAGAACUUUAGAUCCCUGUCAUAGUCUAAAUAUUUUUUUCUGGAAGGUUUGGACAAAAGUAGUUGGGUGGUUGGGUUUGUGGUGUUUUAUCAAAUAAUAGCUAAAUUGGUACAUGCAAAUAAAUUUCUCUGUUUGGUAUCAAGUGGUAGACAAUGAAUGCAUCAAAUUCAUUUGAUAUCUUGCAUUUGGGCUAGAGAUUCAUAAAUAGUUUAUUUUUUUGACGGCAUGAAAUUAAUGAGGAACAAUCAUCAAUAUGGUAAAACCCUUAUCUUGGGCAUUGAUUAAAUCCAAGAAGAAUAACUUUUAUUCUGAUCUUUAUCAUUGGACUCUCAACCCCUUAUUUAAUUAGGUUAUAAUGUCGGUUAAGAUUUAUUGUAUCUUAAUUCGUGUAUUUUGAAGACAUAUUGUUUAUUUGACUUGAACUAUGUUGUACUUCUCCAUCAUAGAAAAACUUUUAUAUAUAUAUAUACGAGGAUGUAUACUAUGAGAAUGACAUGUUUAUAUGAGAAUGAUGAGAAUAAAUUUCAAUCAUCAAAAUCAAAAUAAAUGGUCUAGAUUAAAAAACUUAUUUUAGAUAACACAUAUGCCUUUCCACAUGCUAUCCUCAAUCCAUUCACCUUCUCAUCUUCUCUUACCUUCCAUCAUUUGUUUUUUUGUCAAAUAGCCUAGUAGCUAUAACUCACACAAUUUAAUUGUGGAGAAGUGGAGUGUAUGGGGUUCGAACACCGACUACUGCAUAUAAAAUGCUAUAUCCCUACCAACUGAGCUAAGUUCACGGGAUACGUUCCAUCAUUUGUUGUUGGUCUCCGGAUUGUUCACAUCGCUCUUCAUCACCAUCAUCAUGGUGAGAUCUGAAUAUUUUAAUUGACAAUAAAUAAAAAAUAAUGUUUUUUUUUUUUCUUUCUGUAAAUUAAUUGGAUUAUAUGAAAUGUUCAAUUUACAAUAGACCAGAAACAAUGAUGGGAAAGCAAAAGCAAUAAUUUUUUUUUUAUACCAAAUUGAAAACCAGAUAAAGUGAGUGAAUUGGAUUCGGAAAUAAAAUGGCCAUAUUUCUCAAAAGUUUCAAUUUUAUGGUAGUGGAAUAGACAGACAUGGUUGAACAAUCGAGAUGCAAAAAUCAAUACCAAAAGUAAGUAGAUGAAAGGUAAAACCAAUUCCUGGUCAUGGUGAAUUAGAGAAAUGCAAGCGUCGAACACACACAUAACGAAUUUGAUCAUGGUGGGUUGUAGAAGAUGGACAGUGGAAUGGGGAUAUGAGAAAUGAUAGAAUAAUGUAGACACAUGCGAAGUUUUUUAAUCUAGACCAUUUAUUUUGAUCUUGAUGGCGGAGAUUCAUUUUCAUCAUUCUCAUAUAAAUGGUAUUCUCUUUUGAAAUUUAGUAUGUUUCUAUCAUUUUUUUUCACAAUCAAAAUCUCAUAUUAUUUCACUUCUCAAAAGAGUCUCAAUACAAGAUGGAAUCAAAUCAAACUGUUGGUGACGAGCAUGUAAUCUUGACUCCCCUACUAAAGUAUGAGCGACAAAAUUUGAUUGUCUCCUAGCAAAACUUUUCUUAAAGUUUGGAUGUUGUUGUAAAAGAGCUUGACAAUCGGAUAUAAUACUACAAAACUUCGCUUGGUUGGCAUUCAUAUCAACUAUGUUAUCAAUCAUUAGUUCACAAUUAGGGUUGGGAAUAGGCCAGGCCAGGCCAGGCUUUGAUAGGCCUGAGCCUGGCCUACGAAAUAAAUCACAAGCCUGAGCCUGGCCUAUGGCCUAUCAUAGGCCGUUUUUUUAGGCCUGGCCUGGCCUAUUUAAAAGCCUGGACUGGCCUGAAAGCCUACUUACAGGCCUACUUCACAUUAAGGCCAUCAAAUAGUUCAUUUGGCCUACUAAAUAGGUUAAACUUGUCUUAAAGCCUACUUAAAAGCCUAUUUCACUACAAGUAAAUUUCAACUAGAUUAAAGCCUACAUAAAAGCCUAUAACAACAAAGCCUAUUAAGGGACUAAUAGAUAGAGAAAAAGAUGUUUAUAUUUUUAAUAUAUGCAAUUAUUUUAAUAUAAAAAAAAAUUUUUUAAUAAAUAAGUAUUAAUAGGCCGGCCUAUUAGGCUUAACAGUCUUUUUUUGAAGCCUAAGCUUGGCCUAUUUAACUAAACAGGCUUUCUAAAAAGCCUAAGCCUAGGCCUAUCUACUAAACAGUCCAGGCCAGGCCAGGCCAAAACAGGCCAGGCCGUAGGCCCCUGUAGGCCGGCCUAGCCUAUUCCCAACCCUAUUCACAAUCUAGUUCUAUAAACACCUUUGAUAGGCCUUAUGUACCAAGCCAAUCUUCCGCUUCUUGAGGAGGGGAGCUUCCUUUAAGAAAUGGCCCCUAGAAUUCCGAAUGCACAUAAAAAGGCCAAAACACCUAUACGCCUCAAACAUUGUCGCAUCUACAUAGCAUUUCACGAAAUCCUCAUUUGGUGGUUGCCAAACUUCUAUAUGUUAUUGUUGGUGCUGUACCGAUGCUGCUGGUGUAGACCACACUUCCUGCCGUUGAAAAAGAGAUUCAUGUGCAUGUGGGACAACUAUAUUAACGAUAGGCUUUUAAAUCAACGUCCUGUACUUUGUCAUUACGAUGGCGCCAAACCUGUUUCUAGCAUGAAAACCCAAAAAGAGGGGAAAAUGAAAGUGGGUAAAAAAUAAUAAUAUUAGUGAAGAUAAACAUUAUUUUAUAGUGAAAUCUUUACAAGAAAUGCAGUAAAUUGAGUGCACGAAAAGACAAACACGACACAUGGAUAUAAUCAAGAGAUAUUUAAUUAUUUUAUUAUUAUUAAUGUCUUCUAUUGAUUACUGUAAAAAUUUAUUUCCCAAUAUAUAAAUGCUAAAACUAGGAUAUGAUCAAACAAUUUUCAAUUUGUUACAUCUAAACUAAAGCAAAGAAACAUGACUACAAUUCUAAAGUUUGCUUAUAUUAUGAUUACAUGUCUUUUCCUGCUUCACAUUGCAGCCCAAGAAGUUUUACGUACAUUUUUUUUUAUCCUCUCAAAUUUUAUACUUUAUUAUUUAGACAAUCUUUCAUGCCUUUUAUUGACACUAAUUAUUUUAUGGUUUACAUUAUAGAAUAUGAACUUUUUGACUGUAACGAAGACAGAGAUUGUGAUAACGUCAUCUGCGUCGCAGGUGGUAUUCCAAAGUGCAUUACGCCAUUUUGUUUCUGCUUUUAAUAAUUUAUAAGUUGGCAAAUAAUUUAGUUUCCUAUAAACUUAUAACAAGAUAUGAUCAUGUGAAAUAAUUAUUAAAUAAAAAUAACAUGAUUAUCACAUAAUUAUAUUCAUGCAUUUGUAAGCAUACAUGAGUCUAUUAGAGACAAUUCUAGGCAUACAAAUUACAUCAACCUAAUACAUUUUUGUGUGGCUACAAUGCCACUCAUAUUCAUGAUAAAACCAAAGGUGAUUAAGUAUCUAAUAGAUGCAAUUUUAGUCAAAUUGUG
rnacentral:lncRNA from 1 species